ACUCAGUGCAAAAUUCACGCAUACCUUACACACAGGAGUGACAGCCAUACGUAAGAGGGAGAGGGAGACAAGGACAUCAUUCACACACAGGGACAAAAAUAAGAGGUGAGGUUGAGUCUCCUGGAGGAAGAAUAUUCAGAUCCCAAAUUGUCUAGCAUGAGGCACCUCCAAGGGCAAGACACUUGGCCAUAGGUGUUCGCUAGAUAUAGAGGACCCUAUCCUCCCUGGACAAGGCGAGGGUCUGCGUUUUUCUUCGAGUAGAAUUCGACGUCGACAUUGUGGAAACCCGGAUCGAUGAGACCACCUCUCCCUGCUGUGUCAACUAUUGUUUCACCGCCUCUCUCCGACCAGACAAUCACUGCCAGAGUAGUUUGCCACAUAGCUGAUGAUACUGCCACAUCCAAAGCCAGACCUGUCUGCUGACACUGGAGCCCUGGACAAAGUUUUGAUUACUAUUUAUAAUUGUAGUUUUACACCAUAUUGGUUGUAAUUAUUUUGUGCAGCAUGUUCGGAGAUGAGAUAUGUCUUGAUAGUUGUAAUAGCAUAAACUGAAAGUAAUUAUCAUUUUUUUAUUUGAACAAAAUAUAAAAGCAAAGGGUACUUUGUACUGUUAAUUCCUCCUGGGAAUAAAUACAACUAUGGGAAACUA